CAAUAGCGUAUAUUAAAGUUGUUGCAGUUAAAAGCUCGUAGUUGGAUUUCGGGGCAGCCUGCCUGGUCCACCGCAAGGUGAGUACUGGUCAGCCGCCCUUCCUCUCGAAAGCCCCGACUGCUCUUCAUUGCAGUGGUCGGGUAGUUCGGGACGUUUACUUUGAAAAAUUAGAGUGUUCAAGGCAGGCUAUCGCCUGAAUACAUUAGCAUGGAAUAAUGGAAGAGGACCUCGGUCCUAUUUUGUUGGUUUCUAGGGCCGAAGUAAUGAUUAAGAGGGACAGUUGGGGGCAUUCGUAUUUAAUUGUCAGAGGUGGAAUUCUUGGAUUGAGUUUUGACGAACUACUGCGAAAGCAUUUGCCAAGGAUGUUUUCAUUGAUCAAGAACGAAAGUUGGGGGAUCGAAGAUGAUUAGAU
rnacentral:rRNA from 1 species